rnacentral:rRNA from 1 species
AUUGAACGCUGGCGGCAUGCCUUACACAUGCAAGUCGAACGGCAGCACGGGUGCUUGCCCCUGGUGGCGAGUGGCGAACGGGUGAGUAAUACAUCGGAACAUGUCCUGUAGUGGGGGAUAGCCCGGCGAAAGCCGGAUUAAUACCGCAUACGAUCUACGGAUGAAAGCGGGGGACCUUCGGGCCUCGCGCUAUAGGGCUGGCCGAUGGCUGAUUAGCUAGUUGGUGGGGUAAAGGCCUACCAAGGCGACGAUCAGUAGCUGGUCUGAGAGGACGACCAGCCACACUGGGACUGAGACACGGCCCAGACUCCUACGGGAGGCAGCAGUGGGGAAUUUUGGACAAUGGGCGAAAGCCUGAUCCAGCAAUGCCGCGUGUGUGAAGAAGGCCUUCGGGUUGUAAAGCACUUUUGUCCGGAAAGAAAUCCUUGGCCCUAAUACGGUCGGGGGAUGACGGUACCGGAAGAAUAAGCACCGGCUAACUACGUG